GGGUUGAAAUGUUGGGUUUGGGGUGGAGGUUUUGGGUUUUGGGGUGGAAAUGUUGGGUUUUAGGAUGGAUGGUUGGGUUUUGGGGUGGAGGUGUUGGGUUUGGGGUUGGAAAUGUUGGGUGAUGAAGGGUGGAUGAGGUGCGGUUUGGGGUGGAAGCGUUGGGUUUGGGAUGGAUGGGGUGGGUUUUGGGGUGGAAGUGUUGGGUUUUGGGGGAUGGAGGU